rnacentral:lncRNA from 1 species
NNNNNNNNNNNNNNNNNNNNNNNNNNNNNNNNNNNNNNNNNNNNNNNNNNNNNNNNNNNNNNNNNNUGGAGCGGUUAGCACAUCUGUGGGGCGUAAGAUCGGGCAGCCCAAAUACCAUCGGCUGCACCAGCCCCUAAUUCCGGCACUUCCAUCUGAUGCAGAUGUUGCUUCCGUUCUCCUAUGACGCGCACCUGACUUGACUCGGGCAGACGGGCCACCUACCAAUCCCAACCCGGAAAAGGUGGCCUGCGUACUGCAGUGUUCAUAAAUAGGCAGGGCCAUAGUUACUAACUGGGCUUAGCUGCAGAGGUCACACCUCCUCGUGGUCCCGCUGGAUGCCCAUUCGUGGGUAACCGAGUUGGCCUCUGCCCCAGUGUGUUAUUUGGUGCUAUAGUUACUUCCUCCCUAUUGACUGGCUUCACCGACCACUCAAUAGUAAUUUCAGGUGACUCCAAAUUUAUUUGACCGCGGACUAGUAAAGUAGCCGUGGGUCCAAAGCCCUUGGCCUGAGGGCUAACAUAAGGCAUAUCAGGUGAACUUGGGGGCUGGUUCAUCUGGCUAUAGCCAGAACCCCCACAGUCAUGUUGAACAACCUGAUAAAAUCUUGGGUUGUCAGCUUUGUCUCAGUGGCCACCCAGAUGGGAGAAACUCUCCCAGAAAUCGCAAGGGUUCGCCCUGUGAGAGUAACAUCUGAGGGGGUGGUCCACCUGUCCCAAAAUUUGACUUUUUAUAAUUCGGACGUGGCCAGUUGGGAAGGGACUUGUCCCGACCCGACCUGGGAUUGCAUUAAAUAUCUGCUGGUGGUUUAUGAGGUCUUCGAACCCGUUGGAUCACCUCCGAUGACUGGGGCUGAAGAAGCACUGCAGGAGGAUGUGGUAGACGUGGAAAUAAGAUCUCCCUCCAGCCCCGCAAUUUUACCAACUGAUGCAGUAAGUCCCAUUCUUGGUGCCAUGGGGGGAACGACUGAUGUGGGAACACCAGUCGUGAAGAUCCCUGAUCAACAUCCAGCAUGUCCUUGCUGUGGCACCAGGAUGGGGAAAGUUGCGGCUCUAGUUGACCAUCUUAGGAGGGCCCAUGGCCGGCGACGAAUCCUCUUUCAGUGCUCCCAUUGUGGGAGGACAAAUAUCAAACACCACAGUAUUGCCUGCCACUUUCCGAAGUGCCAGGGAGCCCUUGUUAUCCACAGUCAAGAGGAAGCCCCAGAGGAACCUGGGAUAUGGCGUUGUGGGGAAUGCGACCGGCAGUUCAAAACUAAGAGCGGCAUGUCACAGCAGAAGAGACUUAUGCACCCUCAAGCUAGGAAUCUGGAGAGGAUUGAAGCAACUCGACCGAAGGAAAAGAGCCUGCGAGGAAUGCACAAGAGCUGCUGGACAGAGAAAGAGAUGGCUCUACUGCUAGAGUUGGAAGAAAGGUUUAAGAACGAGCGCUUCAUUAACAAACUGAUCAGGGAGCAUUUGCCCACGAAAACGGCGAAGCAGAUCAGUGACAAAAGACGGCAGCUUGCGGCUGGUGCCAAGACAGCGGCACCGCCAAGAAGAGCAGUGUUAGAGCGCGGUGGGGAGCCCCCGGUGGAGAAGGAAAGGAAGGAGAUGAUAAGAAUGGAAUAUAGGAAGAUUAUGGCAGAGGAGAUACGAGCAGGUUCCCUGCCUGCAAGCCAAAUGAUCGCAUGCAGGAGGAUCUUGGAGGAUGGCAAGAACGCCCGGAGAGUCAUCAAAGCGUCGGCAGUAGAGUGGCUGUCACAGCUGGCGGGGCACAUCGCCAUAGCAAAAUUGAAACAACGUAGGAAGCGUCAAGCAGGACCUGUGCCUGUGAGAGACGAAAGAAGAUGGAUGAAGAACAGGGCGGUGAGAAGGCGGUUGCUCCUCCGAUACCAGCGGCUCUUUGAGAUAGAUCGCAAGA